rnacentral:rRNA from 1 species
ACGGAAGGCAGCAGUGGGGAAUAUUGCACAAUGGGGGAAACCCUGAUGCAGCGACGCUGCGUGAGUGAAGAAGUAUUUCGGUAUGUAAAGCUCUAUCAGCAGGGAAGAAAAUGACGGUACCUGACUAAGAAGCCCCGGCUAACUACGUGCCAGCAGCCGCGGUAAUACGUAGGUGGCGAGCGUUAUCCGGAAUUACUGGGUGUAAAGGGUGUGUAGGCGGGGAAGCAAGUCAGAUGUGAAAAUUAUGGGCUCAACUCAUAACCUGCAUUUGAAACUGUUUUUCUUGAGAGUGGGAGAGGUAAACGGAAUUCCUGGUGUAGUAGUGAAAUGCGUAGAUAUCAGGAGGAACACCGGUGGCGAAGGCGGUUUACUGGACCACAACUGACGCUGAGACACGAAAGCGUGGGGAGCAAACAGGAUUAGAUACCCUGGUA